CGCAGCUAACUGUGUGAAAUCGUGUGAACUGCAGGACACAUGAACAUCGACAUUUUGAACGCAUAUUGCGGCCCAUGCAAAAGUUUAAAUUUUUGUUUAAACUGCAUGGACCACGUAUGGUUGAGUGUUGUA
rnacentral:rRNA from 1 species